UACGAAGGGGGCUAGCGUUGUUCGGAAUCACUGGGCGUAAAGCGCACGUAGGCGGAUCUUUAAGUCAGGGGUGAAAUCCCGAGGCUCAACCUCGGAACUGCCUUUGAUACUGGGGAUCUCGAGUCCGGAAGAGGUGAGUGGAACUGCGAGUGUAGAGGUGAAAUUCGUAGAUAUUCGCAAGAACACCAGUGGCGAAGGCGGCUCACUGGUCCGGUACUGACGCUGAGGUGCGAAAGCGUGGGGAGCAAACAGG
rnacentral:rRNA from 1 species